rnacentral:rRNA from 1 species
CCCUUUGUGUACCUACCUCUGUUGCUUUGGCGGGCCGCGGUCCUCCGCGGCCGCCCCCCUCCCCGGGGGGGUGGCCAGCGCCCGCCAGAGGACCAUCAAACUCCAGUCAGUAAACGAUGCAGUCUGAAAAACAUUUAAUAAACUAAAACUUUCAACAACGGAUCUCUUGGUUCUGGCAUCGAUGAAGAACGCAGCGAAAUGCGAUAAGUAAUGUGAAUUGCAGAAUUCAGUGAAUCAUCGAAUCUUUGAACGCACAUUGCGCCCUUUGGUAUUCCGAAGGGCAUGCCUGUUCGAGCGUCAUUACAACCCUCAAGCUCUGCUUGGUAUUGGGCACCGUCCUUUGCGGGCGCGCCUCAAAGACCUCGGCGGUGGCGUCUUGCCUCAAGCGUAGUAGAACAUACAUCUCGCUUCGGAGCGCAGGGCGUCGCCCGCCGGACGAACCUUCUGAACUUUUCUCAAGGUUGACCUCGGAUCAGGUAGGGAUACCCGCUGAACUUAAGCA